UUUAACCAGCUGGCCUAGCAUAGCUCUCCCGAAACCUUUUUGCUUAUUAUAACACAGUAAGUUAGUGGUUUUUCAGAGCUCUGCUCUUAAGAUGCCAGUGACAUUUCCUUUGCCUACAUCUUUAGUUCUUUGUCUUUGUACGACCAAAGACACUUACCAGUCUUUUUCUCCUCGAGGAUCUCAUGUUUUGAAAGAAUGAGUCCACCAAAUAAAUGAUGAAGAAUUUUCCCACUUUUAUUAGUUAAAAACAUAUAUACCGAAAUUGCCUAACGAAGUUCUCAUUAUUACAUAAAAUAAUUUUAUUACAUAAAAUUACAUAAAAUAUUUUAUUACAUAAAAUAAUUAUUACAUAAAAGAAUCUAUACUGAGUCGAUGUAACUCCAACCCAGUAAUGUGAUCUCAACACAGAGUAAAACCACUCGAUAUCUUAUUUUUUUAUCUUGUAAAAAUGUGUCACGCAGAAACUACCUUAGAAAAAUCAUUAAGAGCUUAAUACUAUUAAAACACCUGCCAGGAAAACAGUCAGUACAUCAGUGAAAAGCAGCUGUUAAUGUAUAUUUGGCCAGAAAGUUCGGUGGUACACUGCUUCAAGUCACUCCACUCUAGCGAUCGUCAGGUUUAAACUCACUCCACUUUUUUUUUCCUAAUAAAUUUCAGGAUACACAAUGAAAUUUUAUAGAUAAUCUUCAACAACACGUCUCUUGAUUUGAAGCUCUGGCUGGAGCUAAGCAUCAGAGGUAGACUGAUCUCUUUUUUAAUAGGAAAAUGAGUUACCUAGAUGGAGUUUGAUAGACUACAUUUUUCAAAUGGUGUCCAUGAGAGAAAACAUUUACGGUUUUCAAGGACCAAGGGGCCCCAGGGGCCAGAGUGGGUGAGAAGCACUGGCAUAGAGCUAGAAGAAAGAAGACUCCCAGGUGAAGGAGGGGAAAUGGCACCCACCGCUUGAGAAGGAGGACCGACUGCUGGGAAAUUCGCAGCCGAGUACAUGAAAGAAGUAGCUCACUUGUUGAAAGGUCACAAGAUGCCCCCGAAGGUCAAGGUCUUGCUGCUCCAGAGUGUAGCGUGUUGGUGUUACUUGAACCCUGU